GCUGGCGUAGCUCAGUUGGCAGAGCAGCUGAUUUGUAAUCAGCAGGUCGUUGGUUCGAAUCCAAUCGCCAGCUCCA
rnacentral:tRNA from 1 species